rnacentral:lncRNA from 1 species
CUCCCACAUGAGCCGGCCCUGAUCAGACAUGUUAGACCCGUAGAACUUAAGCUGGUUCGCAAGCUCCAUCAUCUUUUUAAUAUAUUCCCCAAAGCUUUCUUCCUUCUCCAUCAUCAUUUUGUCAAAUUUGGUCUUAAGGGAGGUCAGUUUCAAAUCCUGAAUCUCAUUGGUCUCUCCGAAUUCCGCUCUGAGAAUCUCCCAUGCUUGCUUGGACGAUGUUGCUCUACCUAUCUGAAGAAAGAUCGGGUCUGUUACAGACAUUUGCAGCAUAUGAAGAGCCGUCAUAUCCUUGAUUCUCUGAUCUUUUUGGCUCGUAACAGAAUCCAAUAAUUUGGUGAUCAUAGUUACUCAAGUGAUCGUCAAUCGUUCUUAAUCUCAACAAUAGAACUAAGACAAAAAAAGAAAAGCACAGACCUGAGAGAUAAUGACAAGUUGUUGAUUAGAUUUUUCAGGUAGAUCUCUUAAUGCACGCUCGCACAAUCUGCGGGGACAAGUGUUGUACCAAUCUUCUCCGUAUUCGUGUAGGUAUGGCUGAGUGAGAGGCACGAAUACAAAGCCCGCAAAUAUAUAAUAACUUGGAAGCUGGUCGAACUGAUGCACUGGAACCAGCGGUUGUAGCUGCAAGCAAGCAAUAAAAAUUUGUUAAGGCUCAGAAGAAGAUUGCCCAGUUCUACAGUCGGUGACAAAUAAUGACUUACAGGUCUGAGAGUGAUACAAAACUCAUGUUCUUUUCCUUCCCUCAAGACUUUAACCAGAGCUGUCUCAUUCGGUUUCUUCAUAGAUACCAUAUGAUCAAAAGUGAUCCGCUCCUUCUUCCGGAGAGGAACUGCAAAGUAAAUGAAAACACACUUUUUUAUUCACCAGCAAAAACUACUACGUAAACAAUGCGACGUUGAGGAGGUUCAUGGAAAAAUAAAAGAGAAAAAAUCUACCAGUGCCAUCAUUUCCAAUGGGAACACCAUCAAAUGCGAGAAUAACAUCUUCCUUGUUCAGAAUUUUAUGAGCAUCGGAGAGAGGGUUAAUCUUGCUUAUAAGAACCCCUGUCAUUUCAGAACUCAUCUGAUAGAUGCUACGGAUCUGAGCAUUCUCCAUAGGCUGGCAUGAUACACCCAUUGAGCAGAAACCAGUGUAUUUUCCAGAUUCUUCAACACCGUUUAUGAAAUGCUUUAUUACCGGUGUUGGAAUGAUAUAACUGCACUUUGAAAGCACCAGUUAGUUUAAAUCUUUUUCUGAUCACUUAGGCUUUGUAUCAAAAGUUUAUUAGACUCACCCAAUGUUCUCACCACCUGCAAGAUUUUGAAAAGCAACGCCAGCUACUUUGUUUCCCAUGAUUGCUGGGCCACCGCUGUUUCCAGGGUUGAUAGCAGCAUCUAUUUGAAUAGCCAUUAGCUGGGUGGCACCAUGAACAUAUUGGGUGGGUUCAACACGAGACACAACACCUUUCGUAACAGAGAUGUUAUCACCACCUGCACUAGAUAUAUGAUUAUCCACUGUACUUGGAGCUAGAACACAACUCAAGUCUUAUCAGUUGAUAAUUAGAAAACAUACCUUGAGGAUAGCCAACUACAAACACUUCUUCCCUCAGAAGCGGUAUAUCUCCCAGCUCCAAAGAGUUCAUUCCUUCCCAAAAAACUUCACUAUCAAUCACCAAAACGGCUAAAUCACACUCGUGUCCGAUAGCCUCAACUUUAGCUCUGUGCUUUAUAGGGGACCCGUGCUUCCUCACUAGCACGAAGGAGUGAUCAGCCACCACGUGCGCGUUCGUUAUAAUCCUUCUUCCAGAUAUUACGAAUCCUAACAUCAUAACCAUUCGAAGUUAAAGCAGCAAAAGAAAACACAACAAGAAACCAAACAAAACAAAAAGUUAUGGUCUUUAGCUAUUACCAGAGCCCAUGGAUUCUCGCUGGGACUUAUUCUGCCAAGGAAGGAAGUAGCUAGGACUCGUCGAAACUGUGAAUAUCUUCACCACCGAGUCCAUCGCCAAAUCCACCGCUGAAGAAUACGCCGCCGACCCUUUUGCGGCAUUUCUCCGCCGUGACAUAUGUCUUAUGCUGAUACGCCACCGUGAAGAAACCGGUGACGAUGUAGUCGUCGUGUGUCGAUGAUGAGGAUUAGAGUAAUAGAAUCUAGAGAUAGGAGAAGACAGAGCACUCUCCCUCGGUAAUGCUCUGCUUACUAAGGAAGGAGAAGUGAGGUACGCGGAAACCGAAUAAGCUGAGAUUCUGCGGAGGUGCUCGACGGUGCGAAUCGACCGGAGCAGCAUUUUUUUUUGUGUUCCGAUACUCUUUUUUUUUUUUUUUUUGGGUUUCUGAAAAGGGUUUUAAGCUGCUAGGUUACACCUUUUUAACAGGAUUCGUUUAGCCGAUUCGUACCGACCGGUUUAAUCUUGGUUCAAUUUUGAAUGUAAUUUACUGUAAUACAAGUAGUUUUGUAUGUGAUUCAACACCCAACGAACACUGUUCAAAGGUACUUUUCUCUCUGUUUUGUCUCUACAAGAAUCGAAUACUGGUGUCGAGUCUCUGUCUGAAUCACUGUUUUCAUAUUUCAAACAUUUUAUAACCUUUUUUUUUAUAACUCAAGAAGACACCUUUCUAAAAUUUAAAAGAGAAAUUACUUAAAAUGACUCUAAUUAGUCAUAAAAUGACUAGAUUAACUCAUAUAAUUUUGAAAUUACUAGAGUAACUCUUGAGGCAUGCAAAUUUACGAUUUUACCAUUACUAAGAAUUAAGAAUUAACAUAUUUAAUAUUAUAAGAAAGAAAAAAAAAACAAUUUAGGUUUGUAGCGUUUCUCCACCGAUGUCGACGAAACCUCUCAUCGUUGUCUCGUCAACUCCAUCUUCGACGCUCCCUUUUCUCUCACCGGCUCUGUUUCCGUCACCUCUUAGUGACUCGACUUUGUCUCCGCCAUCCUCCACGUUAACUCACCUUCGUCUCUUUCCUGUUUGACAAACCCGAAAUCGAUUUCACCUCGGUCACAUUCGGCUUCAACUACAAGUCACUCUAAUCUGUGAAUCUUUAAUCUAUGCUAUUUGAGUUGUUGUUAUCAUAGAUUAAUUGAUUGCAUGUUGCAAUUUUGGAACCCUAAUUCCCAGUUUCAUUUAAACUUUGACUUUCAGAUGUUAAAUUUUAUGGUAUUUGAUAAUUAACAUUUACUCUCUGUUUUAUUAAAAGUUGUAUGAACUAGUGUGGUACUUGGAACCACCAAAACAAAUAAACAAAACGAGCUUAAGCUCUAUGUUAACAAGUUUGUCCUCAAUAAGGAGUUCCCCAGGAUGGCGAAAGCUGUUGCCAACCAGGUAUAACUCUUUUCUUUCAAUCAGUGAUUGUUGUGCGUUGUUAUGUUUGGUUGCCUAUAGCCUAUAGGUUAUCCUCUAUAUUGGUUAGUCUUGUCUAAUGUUGCAUUGAAUUGAUACUUUUUUUUUGUAGUUUUUGUUUUAGGAGCUGUGAUGAGAAAGCUAACACGUAAGAAGAGGACUCCUUUGUGGAGUACCUCUUAUAUGAAAUAUAUUUGUUAUGCUUGGCUCUGAGAUAUAUUCUUUCAUGUCUCCUCUUUUUUCACUCUUUGUCUCUCAGUAUUCGUCAUUUGUUGUCUUAUCUAUUUAGACAGUGGACAACUACUACAAACCUGAUUUAAAGAAGACAACACUUGCUAGGCACAGCGUGAUCAGCAAAGGCCUUAGAGUCGCCAAGUCUCAUCUCAAAAAGAGGAACAUGCAGGCUUGAAGAUUUGGCCAUUGACUGAACAUUUUACUUCUGAAAAAGCUAUGUUUUGUGAUUUCAGACAAAUUUUUAUAGGUUACAAAGAUUUUUCAUGGUUAGUUCGGUUUCUUGCUUGAAACACCUCCACUGUUAUGUUUUUUUUCUCAGAAUGAUAUUUUUUUAAAAAAGGAGUAAGCUGGUUGCUGUCCACAUUCCUUGUCUCUUUGAUCAUGAUAUUGUGAAUCAGUUCAUCGAUAGUGAUAACUACUACUAGUACUUCUGAACUUUAUAGAUAUGUAAUAUGAAUUGAAAGAGAGCAGUAUCUGAUACAAACUCAAGAACAUGUCAAAUUCAAGAACCUAUUCUUACAUAUAAGGACUUUGCUGAACGCCUCUCUGCUGAAGAAUGUCGUUAUGCCAUUUAUGAUUUUGACUUUGUCACUGUUGAGGACUGCCAGAAGAGCAAGAUAAUUUUAAUCGCAUGGUAAGAAACUCAUUCCUGUAAAACCUCACAGUAUUUAUUUGUGGCUUUGACAAUAGAUUGUUCUUUUUUUCCGAUGACAACAGAUUGUUCAAGAAACUAUAAAUGUGGGAACAUAUGUUUAGCUCCACCAGCCAUGAACAGACGUUCAAGAAAAGAGGGAUGAAAGAAAUCAUGACAGUUAUCAAAAAUUUACCUAAUUCUGAUCUUAAUUAACCUAAAAAUAAAUCAGAUUCGAAAUUAAUGUAAACCGGAUUGAAAUUGAAUAUUAAAUUAAUUAAGUUUGGUUUACAUAAACCCAGAUUUUCGUCAAUAAAUCUGUUACAACAUAAAUUAAAAAAUCUGUCACCACAUAAACAAAAAGCCUGCCAACAAUUUUAAAUCAGAUAUAAAAAUCUGUCGUAAAAAAGUAAGUCUAACAUAAAAAAUAAAUCGGUCAAUAAGAAAAUAAGUUGACCACAUAAAUCUACCGUUUAUAACAAGUCUGCUACAUCAUUCGACAUAUAUAUUCUUAAAAAUCUAUUUUCCAUUUAAAUCAGACAAUUAACUCUGUCGUGUGAACAAAUCUGACGUUUUUAAGAAAGUCUGACACCACUCUAACAGUAGAUUUAUUUUUCUACACAGAUUUUAUAAACAGACUUAUUACUCGACAGAUUUAUUUUUUUGAAAAACAAAUCUGCCGUCGAUAAAUAGUAAGGAUAUUUUGGUAAUAUUUUUUUUUUGUUAUAACUAUGUUCAAGGGCAAUUUCGACCAGAAAAAUAUUCUAAUAAUUUUAAAAAAAUAUGAGUCAUUCUAGUAAUUACACAACUAAUUUGAGUCAUUCUAGUAAACUUCCCUAUUUAAUAUUAUGAUUUGAAAGCCAAAGAAACUACCAAAAUAGAACAUUUCGUGAGUUGUUUUGUUGAGCAUCAAACGAACAACACAUCUUACUCUUUAAAACUGCAAAGCAGCAACAUUUUAAUCUUACUUCUUCCUAAAAUGUUUUCAUUAGAAGAAACAAAUAGCAUAGGUAGAGAAAGAGCUCUCUAUUGUCUUCCUCUCUUGUGGUUGUGCGAACUUCAUGAUUCUCGGGGUAUCUCCAACCCAAACCUAUUUUUUCCUUUAUAAUUUUCACAAAAAUAAAAUAACUCUAUUAUAGGGUAAGUUUUAUCCCAACGGUUUACUCUAUUGUUGUGAGAAUAUAGAAAAAAAUAGGUUUACAUUGGAGAUGAUCUUAAACCUAAGUUGACAUUCGUUUUAUCUGGCAAGAGGUAAACAACUUUAUUGAGUGCAAUCCUCUCACCACGCAUGUUGUUUAUAUUACCAUUAAACUUUGGGGGCAAGCUGCUAAGAAUCUCACGGAUGACUUGUUGAUCAGAUACAUGGCUUUUAGGCAAAAAAGUAAUUUUAGACCUAUAAUUAGUUUAAUUAAAUAUUAUUAUUAAAUAAAUAUAUAGAAAAACUUAUCUAAAUUUAUUAAUUUGUUUUUUUAAAAAAAUUUAGACUAUUAUAUUUUUAAAAUAUUAUGUCAAUAUGAAAUUGAAAGUGAAAAAAAAUAAAAAUUAGACCGUUGUUGUUGAGAAAAAAAAAUAUUAGGCCCCUUUAUAUCACUAAAUUUGCUUGAUUUUAGGUGGGUCCUGGGCGAGUAUACUGCUGGCCCUCCCACAUGAGCCGGCCCUGAUCAGACAUGUUAGACCCGUAGAACUUAAGCUGGUUCACAAGCUCCAUCAUCUUUUUAAUAUAUUCCCCAAAGCUUUCUUCCUUCUCCAGCAUCAUUUCGUCAAAUUUGGUCUUAAGGUAGGUCAGUUUCAAAUCCUGAAUCUCAUUGGUCUCUCCGAAUUCCGCUCUGAGAAUCUCCCAUGCUUGCUUGGACGAUGUUGCUCUACCUAUCUGAAGAAAGAUCGGGUCUGUUACAGACAUUUGCAGCAUAUGAAGAGCCGUCAUAUCCUUGAU